rnacentral:pre_miRNA from 2 species
AAUUUCAACUGAAAAAGUCAUCAAUAACAAAGUGGUAUAAAUUAUCAAGAUCUACAACUUCUAUUUUGGUCAUUUCUUCAUCCGACAAAGUAAUUUGCAAGAUUGUUUACAAAAUGUAUAUAUCUCUUAUAUAGUUUUGUAAACUAUAAGAGUGAUAUAUAAAUUUUGUGAAAAUGUUACUAUCACUUUGUCGGAUGAAGAAAUGACCAAAAUAGAAGUUAUAGAUCUUGAUGAGUUAUACAACUUCGUUGUUAAUGACUUUUUCAACUGAAAUC